CGAGGGGCAGCAUUUCAGUUUGCUUGCAAACUGGAGAUGGCGACCGGCGCACGGGUGAGUAACACGUAUCCAACCUGCCGAUAACUCGGGGAUAGCCUUUCGAAAGAAAGGUUAAUACCCGAUAGUAUAAUGAAACCGCGUGGUCUUAUUAUUAAAGAAUUUCGGUUAUCGAUGGGGAUGCGUUCCAUUAGGCAGUUGGUGAGGUAACGGCUCACCAAACCUUCGAUGGAUAGGGGUUCUGAGAGGAAGGUCCCCCACAUUGGAACUGAGACACGGUCCAAACUCCUACGGGAGGCAGCAGUGAGGAAUAUUGGUCAAUGGGCGCAGGCCUGAACCAGCCAAGUAGCGUGAAGGAUGACUGCCCUAUGGGUUGUAAACUUCUUUUAUAUGGGAAUAAGGUUUUCCACGUGUGGAAUUUUGUAUGUACCAUAUGAAUAAGGAUCGGCUAACUCCGUGCCAGCAGCCGCGGUAAUACGGAGGAUCCGAGCGUUAUCCGGAUUUAUUGGGUUUAAAGGGAGCGUAGGUGGACAGUUAAGUCAGUUGUGAAAGUUUGCGGCUCAACCGUAAAAUUGCAGUUGAUACUGGCUGUCUUGAGUACAGUAGAGGUGGGCGGAAUUCGUGGUGUAGCGGUGAAAUGCUUAGAUAUCACG
rnacentral:rRNA from 1 species